AGCUUUUGGCAGGGACCACACACAACCCCUUUGGGUGAAAAAUGGAGAAGAUGGUCAGACACGGAUAAUAUACCUGCCUGGGUUUGGCUGCAUCACAGUGUGAAGGGCAUUUAGACUAAAGGAAAGGCAAGUAAACGAGUUUCUUCAGGAGAGAGCACGGUGUGUGUGUCCCCUCUGGAACAGGCUGCAUCGGAACGGAACAUGCAGCAGAGUCCCAGAAAUGUAAAGGUGCAGUGCACAAAACCAGUUCCAUUAGCAACAGAUGCCAUGACCUUCAGAGGCUUUGAUGGGGGGCUGCAGCAUCCUGGACUUUUCACGUGGUGUUGCAACGUAACACGACCUUUCCAGAACCUGAGCACACAAGAACCAAAUACAGAGAGAGACAAAGCAGGCUGCACCCUAAGGCAAAGAGGCACCGCUGACCCCACCUUGCUGUAGGCUGGCUCUGCAUACUGACUGACUUCACAAGGCCCAGAUUGCACACUUUCAUACAGACCUCCUAGCCUGCAAGCAGGAUGGAGAAACCCCUUACAAACUUAGUGUUUCUGCAGCAUUCAGCCAGCUGUAGCCAGGAGUGGGUCUGGAGCAUAUCGACAAGGGGAUCUCAGACUUUGUCAUAGUGUUGCCCACAUGUCAGUAAAGAUGUAAGCCUCAUGAACCUAG